rnacentral:rRNA from 1 species
GUUAUAUGGUCAAGUGAAGAAGCGCAUACGGUGGAUGCCUUGGCAGUCAGAGGCGAUGAAAGACGUGGUAGCCUGCGAAAAGCUUCGGGGAGUCGGCAAACAGACUGUGAUCCGGAGGUAUCUGAAUGGGGGAACCCAGCCAUCAUAAGAUGGUUAUCUUGUACUGAAUACAUAGGUGCAAGAGGCGAACCAGGGGAACUGAAACAUCUAAGUACCCUGAGGAAAAGAAAUCAACCGAGAUUCCCUUAGUAGUGGCGAGCGAACGGGGACCAGCCCUUAAGUUGUAUUGAGAUUAGCGGAACACUCUGGAAAGGGUGGCCAUAGUGGGUGAUAGCCCUGUACGCGAAAAUCCCUUUGCAAUGAAAUCGAGUAGGACGGGGCACGAGAAACCUUGUCUGAAUAUGGGGGGACCAUCCUCCAAGGCUAAAUACUACUGACUGACCGAUAGUGAACCAGUACCGUGAGGGAAAGGCGAAAAGAACCGCGGAGAGCGGAGUGAAAUAGAUCCUGAAACCGUAUGCGUACAAGCAGUGGGAGCCCACUUUGUUGGGUGACUGCGUACCUUUUGUAUAAUGGGUCAGCGACUUAUUUUCAGUGGCGAGCUUAACCGAAUAGGGGAGGCGUAGCGAAAGCGAGUCUUAAUAGGGCGUCUAGUCGCUGGGAAUAGACCCGAAACCGGGCGAUCUAUCCAUGGGCAGGUUGAAGGUUGGGUAACACUAACUGGAGGACCGAACCGACUACCGUUGAAAAGUUAGCGGAUGACCUGUGGAUCGGAGUGAAAGGCUAAUCAAGCUCGGAGAUAGCUGGUUCUCCUCGAAAGCUAUUUAGGUAGCGCCUCAUGUAUCACUGUAGGGGGUAGAGCACUGUUUCGGCUAGGGGGUCAUCCCGACUUACCAAACCGAUGCAAACUCCGAAUACCUACAAGUGCCGAGCAUGGGAGACACACGGCGGGUGCUAACGUCCGUCGUGAAAAGGGAAACAACCCAGACCGUCAGCUAAGGUCCCAAAGUCAUGGUUAAGUGGGAAACGAUGUGGGAAGGCUUAGACAGCUAGGAGGUUGGCUUAGAAGCAGCCACCCUUUAAAGAAAGCGUAAUAGCUCACUAGUCGAGUCGGCCUGCGCGGAAGAUGUAACGGGGCUCAAACCAUGCACCGAAGCUACGGGUAUCAUCUUUUGAUGAUGCGGUAGAGGAGCGUUCUGUAAGCCUGUGAAGGUGAGUUGAGAAGCUUGCUGGAGGUAUCAGAAGUGCGAAUGCUGACAUGAGUAACGACAAUGGGUGUGAAAAACACCCACGCCGAAAGACCAAGGUUUCCUGCGCAACGUUAAUCGACGCAGGGUUAGUCGGUCCCUAAGGCGAGGCUGAAAAGCGUAGUCGAUGGAAAACAGGUUAAUAUUCCUGUACUUCUGGUUAUUGCGAUGGAGGGACGGAGAAGGCUAGGCCAGCCUGGCGUUGGUUGUCCAGGUUUAAGGUGGUAGGCUGAGAUCUUAGGUAAAUCCGGGAUCUUAAGGCCGAGAGCUGAUGACGAGUGUUCUUUAGAACACGAAGUGGUUGAUGCCAUGCUUCCAAGAAAAGCUUCUAAGCUUCAGGUAACCAGGAACCGUACCCCAAACCGACACAGGUGGUUGGGUAGAGAAUACCAAGGCGCUUGAGAGAACUCGGGUGAAGGAACUAGGCAAAAUGGCACCGUAACUUCGGGAGAAGGUGCGCCGGUGAGGGUGAAGCAUUUACUGCGUAAGCCCAUGCCGGUCGAAGAUACCAGGCCGCUGCGACUGUUUAUUAAAAACACAGCACUCUGCAAACACGAAAGUGGACGUAUAGGGUGUGACGCCUGCCCGGUGCCGGAAGGUUAAUUGAUGGGGUUAGCGCAAGCGAAGCUCUUGAUCGAAGCCCCGGUAAACGGCGGCCGUAACUAUAACGGUCCUAAGGUAGCGAAAUUCCUUGUCGGGUAAGUUCCGACCUGCACGAAUGGCGUAACGAUGGCGGCGCUGUCUCCACCCGAGACUCAGUGAAAUUGAAAUCGCUGUGAAGAUGCAGUGUAUCCGCGGCUAGACGGAAAGACCCCGUGAACCUUUACUAUAGCUUUGCACUGGACUUUGAAUUUGCUUGUGUAGGAUAGGUGGGAGGCUUUGAAGCGUGGACGCCAGUCUGCGUGGAGCCAACCUUGAAAUACCACCCUGGCAACUUUGAGGUUCUAACUCAGGUCCGUUAUCCGGAUCGAGGACAGUGUAUGGUGGGUAGUUUGACUGGGGCGGUCUCCUCCUAAAGAGUAACGGAGGAGUACGAAGGUGCGCUCAGACCGGUCGGAAAUCGGUCGUAGAGUAUAAAGGCAAAAGCGCGCUUGACUGCGAGACAGACACGUCGAGCAGGUACGAAAGUAGGUCUUAGUGAUCCGGUGGUUCUGUAUGGAAGGGCCAUCGCUCAACGGAUAAAAGGUACUCCGGGGAUAACAGGCUGAUACCGCCCAAGAGUUCAUAUCGACGGCGGUGUUUGGCACCUCGAUGUCGGCUCAUCACAUCCUGGGGCUGAAGCCGGUCCCAAGGGUAUGGCUGUUCGCCAUUUAAAGUGGUACGCGAGCUGGGUUUAGAACGUCGUGAGACAGUUCGGUCCCUAUCUGCCGUGGACGUUUGAGAUUUGAGAGGGGCUGCUCCUAGUACGAGAGGACCGGAGUGGACGAACCUCUGGUGUUCCGGUUGUCACGCCAGUGGCAUUGCCGGGUAGCUAUGUUCGGAAAAGAUAACCGCUGAAAGCAUCUAAGCGGGAAACUUGCCUCAAGAUGAGAUCUCACUGGAACCUUGAGUUCCCUAAAGGGCCGUCGAAGACUACGACGUUGAUAGGUUGGGUGUGUAAGCGCUGUGAGGCGUUGAGCUAACCAAUACUAAUUGCCCGUGAGGCUUGACCAUAUAACACCCAAGCAAUU